UAUUCUGAGCAUAGAUGACACUUAAGUGAGUUUUGACUUGACUUUUAGAAUCUUCUAUGAAGCACUGAAUGAUCUGGUCAGUCACAAGGGAAAUUUGAACCUGGAUGUGAGGUUUCCAAAGAAGCCAAAUCCUCCCAUUAACAUCCUUAGAUGAAUGAUCUGGUUAGUCACAAGGGAAAUUUGAACUUGGAUGUGAGGUUUCCAAAGUAGCCAAAUCCUCCCAUUGACAGCCUUAGAAUAGUUGCAGUGGACAUUCCAUCCUUUUGCAAUCUUUCCUUGGAUUUUCUUUGCUUUAUGUUCCUUUACUCUAGUCUCAAGACAUCCCAUAACNN
rnacentral:lncRNA from 1 species